rnacentral:rRNA from 1 species
GAUGAACGCUGGCGGCGUGCCUAAUACAUGCAAGUCGAGCGAACAGAUGAGAAGCUUGCUUCUCUGAUGUUAGCGGCGGACGGGUGAGUAACACGUGGGUAACCUACCUAUAAGACUGGGAUAACUCCGGGAAACCGGGGCUAAUACCGGAUAAUAUUUUGAACCGCAUGGUUCAAUAGUGAAAGACGGUUUCGGCUGUCACUUAUAGAUGGACCCGCGCCGUAUUAGCUAGUUGGUAAGGUAACGGCUUACCAAGGCGACGAUACGUAGCCGACCUGAGAGGGUGAUCGGCCACACUGGAACUGGGACACGGUCCAGGCUCCUACGGGAGGCAGCAGUAGGGAAUCUUCCGCAAGGGGCGAAAGCCUGACGGAGCAACGCCGCGUGAGUGAUGAAGGUCUUCGGAUCGUAAAACUCUGUUGUUAGGGAAGAACAAAUUUGUUAGUAACUGAACAAGCCUUGACGGUACCUAACCAGAAAGCCACGGCUAACUACGUGCCAGCCGCCGCGGUAA